UUUUUGAAUAUGUUUCAAUUCAUUGCAUUUUUUUCCUUUUCUAGUGAUUUUACUGAUAUAUUUCUUCUUUCUUUCUUUUUUUUUUUGAGACGGAGUCUUGCUCUGUUGCCCAGGCUGGAGUGCAGUGGUGCAAUCUCAGCUAACUGCAACCUCCGCCUCUAGGGUUCAAGUGAUUCUCCUGCCUCAGUCUCCUGAGUAGCUGGGAUUACAGCCAUGCACCACCUCGCCCAACUAAUUUUGUAUUUUUAGUAGAGAUGGGGUUUCUCCAUGUUGGUCAGGCUGGUCUCGAACUCUUGACCUCAGGUGAUCCUCCCGCCUCGGCCUCCCAAAGUACUAGGAUUACAGGCACUCCCGGGUUCACGCCAUUCUCCUGCCUCAGCCUCCCGAGUAGGUGGGACUACAGGCACCCGCCACCACGCCGUGCUAAUUUUUUGUAUUUUUAGUAGAGACAGGGUUUCACCAUGUUAGCUAGGAUGGUGUCGAUCUCCUUACCUCGUGAUCCACCCGCCUUGGCCUCCCAAAGUGCUGGGAUUACAGGCAUGAGCCAUCACGCCCAGCCAGAUUCCAACUUUUAGGAGUACUUCCGUAACAAAGAAAACUUGUCAGAGGGGUGUUGUACCUGUUCCAUCUCAUCACCAACCACAUGGCAUAGAAGUACAGAACUUUGUAUAUGUGGAAGAUGAUUCUUUACCCACACAUGUAGGAUCAUGACCUGUUGUGGUUUGAUUAUAUACCCACGGUUUAGAUAAUUUAAGUUCAAAACACUGAAAUAAUUUUUUAAAGGAGAAGACUCUUUUUAAAAUUUUUGAGACCAGCCUGGAAAUUUUAUACAUACAGGAGAAAACUUGAAAAAUUUUUUUAUUUAUUUAAAAUUUUUAAUUUUCGUGGGUACAUAGUAGGUGCAUAUAUUUAUGGAGUUUAUGGAAUAUUUGAUACAGGCAUAUGUUGCGCAAUAAUUACAUCAAGGUAAAUGAGGGUAUCUAUCAACUCAACCAUUUAUCAUAUUACAAUCCUAUUAUACUCUUUUAGUUAUU
rnacentral:lncRNA from 10 species